rnacentral:lncRNA from 1 species
AAAAAAAAAAAAAAAAAGAGCAGGUCACGCAAUUUUCCCCUAUUACCUGGUGCAAAAUGACUCAUCACUUCCCAAAAGCUUCUUUUCAAACCACGAUUUUCCCAUUUAUUUUGGUCCAAUGCAGUCCCAUUCUUUAUGGCCUAUAGUCUCACUCCCAACUACCCCCCUGGGGGGUAAAAAAAAAAAAAAAAGGGAAUUCCCUCUAGG